UUAGUUGCCAGCGAGUAAUGUCGGGGACUCUAAAGAAACUGCCUACGCAAGUAGAGAGGAAGGCGGGGACGACGUCAAGUCAUCACGGCCCUUACGUCCUGGGCUACACACGUGCUACAAUGGCGGUGACAGUGGGCAGCUACUUCGCGAGAAGAUGCUAAUCUCUAAAAACCGUCUCAGUUCGGAUUGUUCUCUGCAACUCGAGAGCAUGAAGGCGGAAUCGCUAGUAAUCGCGGAUCAGCAUGCCGCGGUGAAUACGUUCCCAGGCCUUGUACACACCGCCCGUCACACCAUGGGAGUUGGAUCAACCCGAAGCUGGUGCGCUAACUCGCAAGAGAGGCAGCCAACCACGGUGGGUUCAGCGACUGGGGUGAAGUCGUAACAAGGUAGCCGUAGGAGAACCUGCGGCUGGAUCACCUCCUU
rnacentral:rRNA from 1 species